rnacentral:lncRNA from 1 species
CCGUAGACUAGUCCUCAAUGACCUUUCCUCUUGAAUCGACCUCUUCGCGCAUCGAAUCUAGUCAAAACCACAACGAAUAUGUCACAAUAGGCUAAAGGAAUAUAGCCCAAUCGAAAAGACUCGAAAAAUGUUGAAAAUUCCGAAAUUAGCAAAACCCGAGCCCCGGGCCCACUUCUCGAAAAAUUACAAAAGUCAUAUCACCGGAUUCCUUGUCUCGCCACGAGUCCGUACAUAUAAAAUUUACCAAAAUCGGAGUUCAUUUGACCCCUCAAAUCACCAAAUCUUAUUUUCAAAUCCCUAGGCCUAAAUCCUUAAUUUUUCUACAAUUUUCAUGCUCAAAUCCAUACAUAAUUGAUGUACUUAACUUAAAAUAGGUGGGGAUAACUUACCUUCACAUUGAUGAUGAAAAUCCCCUCUUGAAGCUCCCCAAAAAUCGUCCAUACUUUGAAGAAAUGAAGAAAAGUGAGCUAAAUCCGUGUAUAAAAGAAUCUGCCUGUGCUUCGUCGAGUUGUACCUUGCACUUGUGCUAUACAAG